rnacentral:snoRNA from 1 species
CAGAUACAGUGAUGAUGGCAUAGUUCAGCAGAACAUCCUGUGACGAAAAGUGGAUUUUUUUGUCUUUCGCUCCUAUCUGAUGUAUCUU